UACGUAGGGGGCUAGAGUUGUCCGGAAUCAUUGGGCGUAAAGAGCGUGUAGGCGGCCCGGUAAGUCCGCUGUGAAAGUCAAAGGCUCAACCUUUGAAUGUCAGCGGAUACUGCCGGGCUAGAGUCCGGAAGAGGCGAGUGGAACUCCUGGUGUAGCGGUGGAAUGCGCAGAUAUCGGGAAGAACACCCGUGGCGAAGGCGGUUCUCUGGGACGGUACUGACGCUGAGACGCGAAAGCGUGGGGAGCGAACAGG
rnacentral:rRNA from 1 species